UCCCACCAUUUUAACUUGGUGCACUUCCCUACAGGGUUAUGUUAGAUGGGUUCAGCCUUUCAUUAUACACAUACUGGAGAAAAUUUGCUACCCUUUUUCGAUUGUUCUUUUCUGUUCUUCCUUUUUUUUUUCUUUUCUUUUUUUCCUCUUUUGCAUAGUAACUCGAGGAAUUUUGCUGCUUAAGUACUUUAAUUUUUUCAAGGACCAAAUGUAUUUUCCUUAGUUAUGGUUCGUUAGUUUGUUCCACUCUUUUGACUUACCCUUCUUUAACUGAAGCAGAUUUAUUGUUAUUUAUGGAUCAAGUUGGGAUAAUACUUAAGAUUUUUUUUUUCUUUAGCAGACGGUAUAAAGAGAAAAAGGAAGAAGUGGCAGAGACGGAGGUUGAUCCUGAACGAGAUCAGCGGAUGCUGCCACCAGAAGUUUCGUGCUUCUUGGGCUACUCACUGUGGGGCUAUAACGUAAUAUGUGAUGGUAUAUUACGUUUGAUGGUGAACUAAUUAUUUGUGUUGAGUAUUUCUAAUACCGUUGAAUUACAGUUCCAGGUCUGAGAUGUACGCCUUAUAAUGGACCGCAAUUCAAGUCAUUCCAAGAGAGUUGGUUAUAUUGAAUUUUUUGAUGCAAUGCCAGUCCCUAUGGCAAUAACACUCUCUAGCCAGCCUCUUCUUGGUUAGCCAGUAAUGGUUAAACCAUCAGAAGUUGAAAAAAAUCUGGUUCAGUCUACUACAGCCACAGCUGGGGCUGUAGGUGGGCUCAUAGGCCCCUAUUUGGGGGGAGCUAGAAGAGUAUGUUCCUUUCUAUUGAGCAUGAAGAUGUAGCUUAUAAUUCUGACUACGGAACCCCCAUCCACACUCAUUGAUCUUCUUCCUUUCUCCAGUGGUGAUGAUAACUCAGCUUUAGCACCUGAGCGAUUGGAUUAGAGUGGCAUUUUUGACGUGCAACAAUGAUGUAAUUUGCUUGAAUGUUCAUUUUU